rnacentral:rRNA from 1 species
AGCAGCCGCCGCGGGAAUACGUAGGUGGCAAGCGUUGUCCGGAAUUAUUGGGCGUAAAGGGCUCGCAGGCGGUUUCUUAAGUCUGAUGUGAAAGCCCCCGGCUCAGCCGGGGAGGGUCAUUGGAAACUGGGAAACUUGAGUGCAGAAGAGGAGAGUGGAAUUCCACGUGUAACGGUGAAAUGCGUAGAGAUGUGGAGGAACACCAGUGGCGAAGGCGACUCUCUGGUCUGUAACUGACGCUGAGGAGCGAAAGCGUGGGGAGCGAACAGGAUUAGAUACCCCAGUAGUCCCUGUCUCUUAUAC